UCCCAGGUGGCUUAGUGAUAAAGAAGCUGCCUGCAAUUCAGGAGACAUGGGUUUGAUCCCUGGCUUGGGAA
rnacentral:tRNA from 1 species